rnacentral:misc_RNA from 1 species
UUCUUCCUCGCAUUUGAACGCGUAAAAAGCGUCCCCAAUCAUAGGCGCCAAUCACCUAUUUGAUGCCUGCCAACGACGCCAUGGAGCACGCCUUCCGUGUGAUGCCCACCCCAACACGGCUCUCUUGACGAAGCAGGCGAAUGUCUGCUUUGCCGUGGCGCAGGGCUUUGCUGUGGACUGUGUGGAGGCCUUGAACGAGAUCGAGCGGGAGGGGCUGGAGAAGUAUUACAGAAGAGCGCGGCGGCCGCAACUUCAUUUAUGUUCCGUGCCUCAACGACAGCGACACCCAUGCCAAGGUGCUCACCUCCGUCGUUGGCGCGUGAGUUGGUGCUGCAGCGCCGCUGUUGCGGGACUCCUUCUUUGUUGACCUUCUCUCUCUUGCCGCAGCCCAACUGCACGGUUUCCAUCCAUCAUCCCACGCGCGCUGACCUCUACACGCGCUGCCUUGUUAUAUCGAGGCACGCAACGUUUAACGCACGUCACCACAUAUCGUGACCACUUUCUGUGCUCUCUCUUCCCCCUUCUGGUGUGUUCGCGUGCGUGGCUGACCGUAUCGCCGUACGGUGACGCACCAGCGACAGUGACUGCUGGUGCGGCGCCGGUCGCCUUCUUCACCACAUCCCGCGCAGAAAGCCCAGCAAGGCGCAAAGCAGAGCGGAUUCCUGGCAGCCCGCAAGAUCGAGGGGCGAAACAGAAACCCGCUGCCUUCGCACUUCUCUCUCACGUUCCGUUCCGUCGUGUGCGCCUCUGCUUCGGGUUUACCACUCUCUCUCGUUCUCCGCUGAUCGUUGGCUACAAGGUUGGCUUUCGACGUGACAGCUUUUGGCCCCCGCUGCUGCUGCCUCUCGCCAUUUUCGUGUUUUUGCUGCUCUGCUUCCGUCCAUGUGCACAUAUUUCCGCCUUCUCGCUUCCGUCUCCCGUUCUCGCUCUCUUCCCUGUGUCUUUCUCACCUUGCCGGCAG